UCCAUUUUGACGGAAAAGCAGCCGCCUUUGGAGAGCAUCAGCCAUGUGCGGAGUGUUGAAGUGGAAAAAAACAAGUGAAGAGGUGCUGCUUGAAAUUUGCACCGACCAGCAACCACAAUUUCCCUCAUCACGUCCCCAGCAGUGUGGAGGACGAGCAUGGAGCGUGAUCUGGAGAGGAGAGUACGGUGGCCGGGAGGUGCAAAACAAGAUUACAACAUGUGAAACACUUUUACUAAGCUUGAGACAAAUUUACAUUUUGGAAUUUUUACAUAUCAUAAAACAAAAUUACAUUACCAUAACACAUUUACAAGUCCCGAAACAAAUUUACAUUUCAGAAAACAAAUUAACAAGACACGAAACACUUUUACAAAUGGCAAAACAAAUUUACAAGUCCCGAAACAAAUUUACAAAUAUCAAGCAUCAACUGGAAAGGGAAUGUACCAACUCCGGGGUUUAACCGGAAGUGACUGUUGUUGUCGUCGGUAGAGUUCAUGGUGAGCCGCCAAGAUGGACAGCGAUCGAGUGAUGUUUUCCCGUUUUGUGGACAACGUAUGAGCCGCUUAACGCUGUUUUGUUUUUCGUGUGGUCGGUCUUUAGAGUUUUUAAAUGACAUGGACCAGACGGACGGACCAGAUGUGCUGCAGCAGUGCAUAGAAUAUUUUAAUGAGGGACACUCGUACGCUGUAAUCGUGGAUAUGAUGUCAAGCUCACACAGUGUUCACAUCAGCUUGAGGUCGCUGAAAAGCGAACUCAAUGAAGCUGGGUUUUAUCGUAGAAAGGAUUACUCCUCUACAAACGCCGUAAUCAGGGCCAUCCGACCGGAACUUCGUGGACCUGGACAGCUGUUUGGCUACCGCACGAUGUGGCAGGUACUCAAACAGAAGUACAAUCUGCGAGUGAAGAGGGACCAAGUGAUGAAUCCUCGAGGGUGCGAGAGGAGAGCACGCAGAAGGGUCAUCAGAAGAACAUACCACUCCACGGGACUGAACUAUAUGUGGCACGCGGAUGGUUAUGAUAAAUUUAAGCCCUUCGGUUUGGCUCUUUCAGGGUGUAUUGAUGGAUUUUCACGUAAAGUGCUGUGGCUCGCAUGUGGAUCAACAAAUAAUGACCCAAGUGUGAUCGCUCACUAUUUUCUGUCAUGUGUGCGAAACCUCGGCGUCAUUCCCAUGAGACUGAGGACUGACUGCUGCACGGAGAACGGGACCAUGGCCGCAAUUCAGUGCACACCUACGCCACAACCACACUGACUACUACUCUGGAGUGUCCAGCCACAUGUAUGGCUCAUCCACGAACAACCAGAGGAUUGAGUCCUGGUGGUCCAUAUUCAGAAAAGGAAGGGCUCAGUUCUGGAUGGAGCUGUUUGCAGACCUUAGAGAUGCUGGACACUUCAACGGGAGUCACGAGCAUCAGUGCCUACUGAGAUACUGCUUCGGUGAUGUUGUUCAGAAGGACUUAGAUGAGUGUGUGAGAUGGGAGCGUGUCUAUGUUCCCACAGCCCUAUGUUCCCACAGCCCUGACCCUAACCCUAACCCUAAUUUUCAAAAAUUUCUGUGGAAAAAAAAGUUCUAAGAAAUGUGGGAACAUAGGGCUGACCCCUGUGAGAUUGUGGAACAGUCACAGGAUUCGCCCCUCCAGAACAGCAUCAUGUCCAGGAGGAGUACCCAAUGAGCUGUACUACUUACCCCACAGGUUUGGUUCCAGAGACUGUGGAUUUAAACUUGAACUUGCCUAACUGGAUGCCUUUCCUGAGGCUCAACUGACAAGAGUUCCAUGUGGGGACACAAACAUGCAGGAGUACUGCAUGUUUGUGUCCAUGUAGCCAUGGAGAACCAUCAUUUACAGAAGCCAGAGUACUGGCAGUCUGCAACUGAACUGUACCUAAAACUACAAGAAAUUUCUCAGCUGUGAAUAGACGAGAGUUUUAUUGUAAUGGUGGAACAUGUACACAAAGUGUCUGAAUUUGUCACCACGCUUCGUUGUUUCAAAGUGGGAAAUAAAUGAAGAAAAAAUAAAGCAAAAUAACAAGUAUUCGAGUAUUUUUCAUGAUUCAUAAACAGACCACAGUUUGAGAACCAUGGAUCUAAAACAAUUGUCUCUCAUACCUUAAUAUUAUAAUAACCUCUUUAACAAAAGCAACUGCACAUUUAGGUGCACCAAUGAGAACAGCAACAAAGAACAAACAACAUUUUUAGAGCCCGAGCUCUAGGGAUCAUUCAGUCAUAUGGCUUAAAAACAGCCAAACCCUGGACUAUUUUGAAUUCCAAAGUCCAUUUUUGACUUAAACACACUGUAUAAAUCUAGGAGUGGCAAUUUCAACAGGUUUGAACAUGUAUUUGCCAUUGGGAAUGGAGAUUCGUCCAGGAACUCUAUUUUUGGGGAUGGUUCCAAGCCAGAAGGGGGAAGUGAAGUCAGCCCAGUUGCAAACAUGAAAACAUCCCCCACAGACACAGCAGCCUCGCCUCCUGCAAAGAAAAAAAAGUUCAGAUAUACCAUUGUAAUGUGUGUAAUGGGUUUUACAAGUAGUUACAAAAAACAAUUUGA